rnacentral:rRNA from 1 species
UUGAAUUGAAGAGUUUGAUCAUGGCUCAGAUUGAACGCUGGCGGCAGGCUUAACACAUGCAAGUCGAACGGUAGCACGAAGGAGCUUGCUCCUUGGGUGACGAGUGGCGGACGGGUGAGUAAUGCUUGGGAAUCUGGCUCAUGGAGGGGGAUAACUACGGGAAACUGUAGCUAAUACCGCGUAAUAUCUUCGGAUUAAAGUGUG